CCUACGGGUGGCAGCAGUGAGGAAUAUUGGUCAAUGGACGAGAGUCUGAACCAGCCAAGUAGCGUGAAGGAUGACUGCCCUAUGGGUUGUAAACUUCUUUUAUAAAGGACUAAAACGAAGAACGUGUCCCUUUUUGCAUGUACUUUAUGACUAAGGAUCGGCUAACUCCGUGCCAGCAGCCGCGGUAAUACGGAGGUUCCGAGCGUUAUCCGGAGUUAUUGGGUUUAAAGGGAGCGUAGAUGGGUUGUUAAGUCAGGUGUGAAAGUAUGCGGCUCAACCGUGAAAUUGCAGUUGAUACUGGCAGUCUUGAGUACAGGUGAGGUAGGCGGAAUUCGUGGUGUAGCGGUGAAAUGCUUAGAUAUCACGAAGAACCCCGAUUGCGAAGGCAGCUUACUAAACGGUGACUGACAGUGAGGCGCGAAAGUGUGGGGAUCAAACAGGAUUAGAGACCCGGGUAGUC
rnacentral:rRNA from 1 species